rnacentral:rRNA from 1 species
GGAUUAGAUACCCUGGUANUCCACGCUGUAAACGAUGUCGACUUGGAGGUUGUGCCCUUGAGGCGUGGCUUCCGGAGCUAACGCGUUAAGUCGACCGCCUGGGGAGUACGGCCGCAAGGUUAAAACUCAAAUGAAUUGACGGGGGCCCGCACAAGCGGUGGAGCAUGUGGUUUAAUUCGAUGCAACGCGAAGAACCUUACCUACUCUUGACAUCCAGAGAAUUCGCUAGAGAUAGCUUAGUGCCUUCGGGAACUCUGAGACAGGUGCUGCAUGGCUGUCGUCAGCUCGUGUUGUGAAAUGUUGGGUUAAGUCCCGCAACGAGCGCAACCCUUAUCCUUUGUUGCCAGCGCGUAAUGGCGGGAACUCAAAGGAGACUGCCGGUGAUAAACCGGAGGAAGGUGGGGAUGACGUCAAGUCAUCAUGGCCCUUACGAGUAGGGCUACACACGUGCUACAAUGGCGUAUACAAAGAGAAGCGAACUCGCGAGAGCAAGCGGACCUCAUAAAGUACGUCGUAGUCCGGAUCGGAGUCUGCAACUCGACUCCGUGAAGUCGGAAUCGCUAGUAAUCGUAGAUCAGAAUGCUACGGUGAAUACGUUCCCGGGCCUUGUACACACCGCCCGUCACACCAUGGGAGUGGGUUGCAAAAGAAGUAGGUAGCUUAACCUUCGGGAGGGCGCUUACCACUUUGUGAUUCAUGACUGGGGUGAAGUCGUAAC